CGUAGGGUGCGAGCGUUAAUCGGAAUUACUGGGCGUAAAGCGUGCGCAGGCGGUUAUAUAAGGACAGAUGUGAAAUCCCCCGGGCUCAACCUGGGAACUGCAUUUGUGACUGUAUAGCUAGAGUACGGCAGAGGGGGAUGGAAUUCCGCGUGUAGCAGUGAAAUGCGUAGAUAUGCGGAGGAACACCGAUGGCGAAGGCAAUCCCCUGGGCCUGUACUGACGCUCAUGCACGAAAGCGUGGGGAGCAAACAGGAUUAGAUACCCUGGUAGUCCACGCCCUAAACGAUGUCAACUGGUUGUUGGGUCUUCACUGACUCAGUAACGAAGCUAACGCGUGAAGUUGACCGCCUGGGGAGUACGGCCGCAAGGUUA
rnacentral:rRNA from 1 species